UACGAAGGGUGCAAGCGUUAAUCGGAAUUACUGGGCGUAAAGCGUGCGCAGGCGGUUCGUUGUGUCGGCGGUGAAAGCCCCGGGCUCAACCUGGGAAUGGCCGUUGAAACUGGCGAACUGGAGUGUGGCAGAGGGGGGUGGAAUUCCGCGUGUAGCAGUGAAAUGCGUAGAGAUGCGGAGGAACACCGAUGGCGAAGGCGGCCCCCUGGGCUGACACUGACGCUCAGGCACGAAAGCGUGGGGAGCAAACAGG
rnacentral:rRNA from 1 species